GCUCAGGACGAACGCUGGCGGCGUGCUUAACACAUGCAAGUCAAGGAGAACGGAUUCUUCGGAAUACAAGUAAACUGGCGAACGGGUGAGUAACACGUAGGUAAUCUACCCUGGAGAUUGGGAUAACCCCGGGAAACCGGAGCUAAUACCGAAUAAUGCAGCGGAUCCUUCGGGAUAUGUUGUUAAAGCGGGCUUUUGCUCGCACUUUAGGAUGAGCCUGCGUCCGAUUAGCUUGUUGGUGGGGUAAUGGCCUACCAAGGCGAUGAUCGGUAGCUGGUCUGAGAGGAUGAUCAGCCACACUGGGAUUGAGAUACGGCCCAGACUCCUACGGGAGGCAGCAGUGGGGAAUUUUGCGCAAUGGGCGAAAGCCUGACGCAGCAACGCCGCGUGAUCGAUGAAGCUUUUCGGAGUGUAAAGAUCUGUCGUGAGGGAAGAAUAACUUGGAUGCAAAUAGUUUUCAAGUCUGACGGUACCUUACAAGAAAGCACCGGCUAACUUCGUGCCAGCAGCCGCGGUAAUACGAGGGGUGCUAGCGUUGUCCGGAAUCAUUGGGCGUAAAGGGUCCGUAGGUUUCUUUGUAAGUCGUUUGUUACAUCCACCGGCUCAACCGGUGGCCUGCAAUCGAAACUGCAAGGAUAGAGUUCGAGAGAGGAAAGUGGAAUUCCUGGUGUAGCGGUGACAUGCGUAGAUAUCAGGAGGAACACCAAUGGCGAAGGCAGCUUUCUGGCUCGAUACUGACACUGAGGGACGAAAGCGUGGGUAGCGAACAGGAUUAGAUACCCUGGUAGUCCACGCCGUAAACGAUGAGUACUUGAUGUCGGAGGAUUCGACCCCUUCGGUAUCGUAGCUAACGCGUUAAGUACUCCGCCUGGGGACUACGGCCGCAAGGCUGAAACUCNA
rnacentral:rRNA from 1 species